rnacentral:rRNA from 1 species
UUAAAACUCAAAUGAAUUGACGGGGGCCCGCACAAGCGGUGGAGCAUGUGGUUUAAUUCGAUGCAACGCGAAGAACCUUACCUGGUCUUGACAUCCACAGAACUUAGCAGAGAUGCUUUGGUGCCUUCGGGAACUGUGAGACAGGUGCUGCAUGGCUGUCGUCAGCUCGUGUUGUGAAAUGUUGGGUUAAGUCCCGCAACGAGCGCAACCCUUAUCCUUUGUUGCCAGCGGUUAGGCCGGGAACUCAAAGGAGACUGCCAGUGAUAAACUGGAGGAAGGUGGGGAUGACGUCAAGUCAUCAUGGCCCUUACGACCAGGGCUACACACGUGCUACAAUGGCAUAUACAAAGAGAAGCGACCUCGCGAGAGCAAGCGGACCUCAUAAAGUAUGUCGUAGUCCGGAUUGGAGUCUGCAACUCGACUCCAUGAAGUCGGAAUCGCUAGUAAUCGUAGAUCAGAAUGCUACGGUGAAUACGUUCCCGGGCCUUGUACACACCGCCCGUCACACCAUGGGAGUGGGUUGCAAAAGAAGUAGGUAGCUUAACCUUCGGGAGGGCGCUUACCACUUUGUGAUUCAUGACUGGGGUGAAGUCGUAACAAGGUAACCGUAGGGGAACCUGCGGUUGGAUCACCUCCUUACCUUAAAGAA